rnacentral:lncRNA from 1 species
GAUGAAUGUUAGUGAAGCAUCUAGUAGAAUACAAAUUGUCCACAUCAUAGCUCUCACUUUUUUCUCUGUCUCACAUGGCUGAGAAUGUAUACAGUUGCCAACAUAAAAGUGAAAAUGAGGUUAGAAUCCUGGGAAGUCAUGAAAGUGUAUGCUGAAGAUUGACUACCAGUUACCACGACAUCUUUUAUAUUCAAUGGGCUUACAUUCUAUUGAGAGAAGACAUAAUGGUGAACCAGAAAGGGCAUACAACUUUUUUGUGUGAAAUUCCAAAUUGCUUUCCAGAAUGAUGGUACUCAUAUACAGGCAAGGGAACUGAAGCCAGAGAAGUGAGACAUUUGCUGAAGAUUACUCAAGGCAAUUAAACUAAACCGGAGACUUGGAACCUCUGAUUCAAAAUCUAUGUAUUCAAUAAAUGAUGAUAAACAAUUUGAGGUGUUGUCUUU